AGUGAACGCUGGCGGUAGGCCUAACACAUGCAAGUCGAACGGCCGCACAGUAAGAGCUUGCUCUUACGGGUGGCGAGUGGCGGACGGGUGAGGAAUACAUCGGAAUCUACUUUUUCGUGGGGGAUAACGUAGGGAAACUUACGCUAAUACCGCAUACGACCUACGGGUGAAAGCAGGGGAUCUUCGGGCCUUGCGCGAUUGAAUGAGCCGAUGUCGGAUUAGCUAGUUGGCGGGGUAAAGGCCCACCAAGGCGACGAUCCGUAGCUGGUCUGAGAGGAUGAUCAGCCACACUGGAACUGAGACACGGUCCAGACUCCUACGGGAGGCAGCAGUGGGGAAUAUUGGACAAUGGGCGCAAGCCUGAUCCAGCCAUACCGCGUGGGUGAAGAAGGCCUUCGGGUUGUAAAGCCCUUUUGUUGGGAAAGAAAAGCAGCAGGUUAAUACCCCGCUGUUCUGACGGUACCCAAAGAAUAAGCACCGGCUAACUUCGUG
rnacentral:rRNA from 1 species